GGAUGAUCAACUUGUCCCAGUUUGCCUGGGAUUUUCCCUAUUUGUACCAAAAGUCUUAUGUCCUGGGAAAUCCUUCAGUUCCAGGUAUAUCUGAGUGAUUGACCACCCUACCCAGGAAAUAAGGAAGGAGCAAGGGGUCCUUAAAGUGUUAUCCCUACCAGAAUCUGCCUCUUUCUCUCUCUGCAAAAGUAGAGAAGCUGCAACCUGUGGGACCUGGUGCUUCCAUCCAGCUGCAUGGGGAAGACAUUUAUGUCAACUUGAGCAGAAGAGCAUAUACCACAUAAUACAGAUCUUUGGAUGGGAGUUACUGCCAGAGCACAGCCAUCGUUUUGGCAACAUUCCCAAAGGAAUAAAAGAAGUAAUGUCUUUCACUGAAAGUAGGUCAAGGAGCCAAGUGAGUGGUGCCUUGCGGGAGAGGGAAAAUGAAGAAGUGCGCAAGGUCCACACUGGUGAUGAUUCCACACUCAGAGCUCUGAGCUGUCAGAACCCAAAGAAUCAUCUAGAAACCAAGAGACAAUGGGAAAUAAGGCAACAGCAAGGUGGAAGAGGUGAACAUGAACCUGGUGAAAACCUGCAGGAAGAUCAGGGUAAGGGUAUUGCCCUUCCCAAAGGUGGGGGUGGUGCCCAGGCCAUCCUCUCAGGACAUCACAUAAACAUGGACACUAGAGGCUCCUAG
rnacentral:lncRNA from 13 species